rnacentral:misc_RNA from 1 species
AAGUCGUAACAAGGUUUCCGUAGGUGAACCUGCGGAAGGAUCAUUAACAAAUCAUUGUAGGUACCGAAAGGUCCUAUAUACACCCCAAGCCUGUGAAGAGCAGUUAGCUCGGAUCGGCUUUGGUUGCAGCCCUCGGGCUGUAGGCCGAGUUGCCGAAAGGCAUUCCUCGGCCACAUAGACGCUUGUAUGUUUGACAGAGUUUAGUUGCAUCAUAAAAAAUACAACUUUUAACAAUGGAUCUCUUGGCUCUU